rnacentral:rRNA from 1 species
CAGUCGCCGCGGUAAUACGAAGGGUGCAAGCGUUACUCGGAAUUACUGGGCGUAAAGCGUGCGUAGGUGGUGGUUUAAGUCCGUUGUGAAAGCCCUGGGCUCAACCUGGGAAUUGCAGUGGACACUGGAUCACUAGUGUGUGGUAGAGGAUAGUGGAAUUUCCGGUGUAGCAGUGAAAUGCGUAGAGAUCGGAAGGAACAUCUGUGGCGAAGGCGACUAUCUGGGCCAACACUGACACUGAGGCACGAAAGCGUGGGGAGCAAACAGGAUUAGAUACCCCAGUAGUCCCUGUCUCUUAUAA